GCGAAAAAUAAAGCUGUAUUUUCGUGUUUGGGUAAAGUACGUGGAGAUAUGGAUGCAACUCAUAGCGAUACGCAGCUGGAGUGAGCUUUGUUAAUUACUUUAGCAAUGAACGCUUUACACUUGUUAAACGGUUAAACGUGCGAAAAAGCGCUUAUCAAAAGGUGAUUGGAUAAGCAGCUAUGAUUGUAUGAUGUACCAAGUGAGUGUACGCGCACGCAAAGGAACAAUCAAACUCACUCGUAUUACACAAGACUAGCCAUGGAUAACUGGUCUUCCUGAACGGAACUCAGUGGUGUUACUUGUGUCAUUGAGGCAUUCGUCGUCACACAGCAGGUGCAAGUGUCUUUCGCUUAUAAAUUAGCCGAUAGAAAUGGAUGUCUUUGUGAGUUGAUUGUGCGGUAGCAUAAAAAGGUAGCUCGAUUGCAUAUUGAAAAUAUGGCACAAGAAUAACAUGCAUGUGAAAAGUAAUUCGCCAUGCACUGUUUUGCUAAAGCACUGCGCGAGUUGAUGAGUCCACUACCUUUCCCCUAUGUACCCAUGGGCGUGGCUAGACAUCCCAUGACAAUCAAGAACAUUGAUAAAUACAAAGAUGGGUCGGUAUUCUUUAACACAGCCACAUAUUGCGUUGGUUAUCAGUUUUUCGUGCUUUCAGGUAACGGGGACCUUGCACUUGGAGCCCAAUCAGAAUUGCAUUUCUGGGGAUAAAGUCACAGUUUCCUGACAAACAAAUUCCCUCAUAUGGCAGCCAGUAAAUCAUUGUCUAAAUACGGCCGUCAACACCUCGUCUAAAGUAUUAACUAAAAACUUAAUGACAUAACUAGAAUAGCAGGCUUCAUAGCUUGCGUGUCUAUACGAGAUCUGCUUUUACGUUGCUGUUAAGCUUGUUUAGCAUGUGAGUUUCGGCGGGAAGUUUGACACCCUCGAAAUGUGGGUAAAAGGCAUUUUUGCUCCGUAAAAUCUUCGCUCAGUCGAACUUCCAGCUGAAAACCAUAGACGGCUGCAUAACAGGAUAGCGGGGUAAAUGUCUGGUGUAUCGGCCACAAGUAUGGCAUCGCUGCUCUUGUGACCUCUGAGUUCAGGCGCCCUUAAGGAGAAGAGGUCAUUGCUGACUUGUCCGGCUCGACGGGGGCGGGCGGACCCAUCUCAGCUCCUAGCACACUACACCACCACACAAGAUAAACAUUAUCUUCUUCACGUCUCAUUUCUACGGCCUUGGUCCAAAAGCCGUGGAUUCCAAAGGUGUUUAUGGCACGGAGAUUACACUUGUAAGGACGGGGAAAUUAUCUCUAAUUGGUGGAAUUCAUUUGGUUUCGGCGUCUUGAAUGGUGGGCGACGGACAGGAUUGCUGGGCUUCCGUGUAGUGCCUGGCUAUUCUGCCAGGUAUGUUAUGAUAUUCUACGGUGGACAAGCAAAUCUGAAGGACAGCUAGACACUCUAUGGCAGCAUCCAGAAUACCAUUCUGGGCAGAUAAAGCACUGCCUUCUGGAAAAUAAAGUGAUUUUGG